rnacentral:rRNA from 1 species
UGGGGAAUAUUGCACAAUGGGGGAAACCCUGAUGCAGCGACGCCGCGUGAGUGAAGAAGUAUUUCGGUAUGUAAAGCUCUGUCAGCAGGAACGAAAAAAGACGGUACCUGACCAAGAAGCCCCGGCUAACUACGUGCCAGCAGCCGCGGUAAUACGUAGGGGGCAAGCGUUAUCCGGAAUCACUGGGUGUAAAGGGAGCGUAGACGGCUGUGCAAGCCUGGAGUGAAAGGCGGGGGCCCAACCCCCGGACUGCUCUGGGAACUGUAUGGCUGGAGUGCAGGAGAGGUAAGUGGAAUUCCUGGUGUAGCGGUGAAAUACGUAGAUAUCAGGAGGAACACCAGUGGCGAAGGCGGCUUACUGGACUGUAACUGACGUUGAGGCUCGAAAGCGUGGGGAGCAAACAGG